AUAAAAAAUUUCAAAUACCGAUAUAUGAUUUUUCGAAUAUUCACUUUAGGGUGCGUUUGGUUCGCAUUAUGAAAGAUUACUAGGAAUAAAAGAUAUCCAAGAAUUUUAUUACUAUUCAUCCUAUUACUAAGAAUGUGGAAUUUCUGUGUUUGGUUCACACAGUAAUAUUAAUUAGCCAUGUUAUUUAAUAUUACAAAAAAUAUACAAUUAAUUUUAGAUAAUGUUACCAAAAGUUUCAACAUCUUUUUUAAAAAAAGGGAGAGAGAGUAUAAGUUAGAGAGAGAGAGCAUAAUUAAAAAAAUAGAAAGAAAAAUAUAGUCGAAAUUAGAGGGAGUGAGAAAGUUGAAAUUUUAGAAAGAGAGAGAGAAAGCUUAGUUUAGAGAGAGAAAAAAAAGCUGAAUUUUAGAGAGAAAAAUAAGUUUAGAGAGAGAUAUAAUGUUAGAGUGUAAAGAAAAAUAAUAUCAAUUAGCUGGCGGGUAGGAAGAAAGAAAGAGAUUAGCCAUAUUAUGAUUACCCCAAUCCAUUAAUAUCAGGAUACCCACCAUCCCUCAAGGGAAUGAGAUUAGUACUUUGGGGUGAAUCUUAUUCCCAAGUGAAUCUACUAUUACCAACUAGAUUGCUUAGUAUGUUUUGCCAAACACCGUCAUACUUUUUUAUUCUCAUUGGAUUAUUAGGAAUCUUUAAAAGAUAGUGUGAACCAAACGCACAGUGCCUUAUGAUUUACUGAAUUUUUAAUUUAAUACUCCAUGAUUUUAAUUUAUAACUGGCUUAACAAAAAAAA
rnacentral:lncRNA from 1 species